UAUCGAUGAAAAAAACGAUUUUGCAUCAUGAAAAUUCAAGUCGUUAUUAUUAAAUCGUUCUUGGGAAGCUUCCGAUCGGACUGUUUGGCCCCUGGAAAUACAGACUACGAUUUGCUUUAAUCGGUAGAUAAUACUGGUUGCAUCUGUUACAUCACAAAGAAAAAGGAGGGGAAAAUUUUCUUCAAUACUAUAGUACUGUAGUCUCGCGAUACUGAUGGUUGAAGUGGAUAAAUCCGCUUCGCAUAAGCGCGCUUGCGUAUCGCGUGCUGAAACGUCAAACACAAGGGAAUCGAAUAACGUCGCCUUGGUAUUAUAUUAUGACAUUAUAAUAUGUAAUAUCUGUCAUACGAGAAUAUGUACGCAUCCCGAGAAGAUUUUUUCCAUUUAAUCCAGUCGGUGUUCAGUUUCUGAACGGUAACGACGCUGUACGCUUGUUACGCUAACGUAAAUAAGUGUUCAUUAACGAACGGUAUGCGUGCUCGGUACAUAUGACAUGUGACACACCGUUCUCAAAUGUCUUCCCCGAAAACUUCCGAAUACACAGACAAUUACCAACGUUUUGACGAUGGAGCGAACGUGUCGCUCGAGCAGGACAUCUCCGAACAAUCGAAUCAAAAAUAUGGAUCAAUGUUGUCAUAUUCUUUCCCAGGGAAGCACAUAAAUUCACCAUUAGGCAAUAGUGAAAGCAAUCAGUUGCCAGAACAAUUUGAUACCGAUGAAAUAGAAAGUGAUACCAUGACUAAUAAUGCUGUACUUCCUUUGCAUGAUACCCUUUCAGAUCAUGAUUUAUAUUGGGAAAUGAAUUAUCACAAGGCAGCAAUAUUUUUAGAGGAAGGUAGAAACAAUGAAAAAUUCGAAUCACAUCCAAAGCACCCAGAAGAUUUGCCAGCCUAUCUAUUGGUUCACAAUAAUUGGUAUUAUGGUCUAGAUUUGUUGACCUCACUUUUACUUUUAGCUUUGGCUCUCGUGGAGGAGCCAGCUGUACCAUUAUUUAAAAUACCAGUAUGGGCGCAUGGGUCAAUAGAGCUUUUUGCUUUGAUAAUUAUAGGCAUUGAAUUAACUUUAAAAUUAAGAUGGAUUGGCUGGGCAACUAUGUUGAAGCAUAAAAGAACAAUGUUGAAGUGUGCCACAUUGGCCAUCAUGUUUCUGGAGGCAAUGACGGUCUUAGUAAGACAGUCGUCACAUUUUCGCGUAACACGCGCUCUUAGGCCUAUUUUUUUAGUAGACACAAAAUGUUUCGGAGGUGUGCGAAGAUUCAUCAGACAAAUACUUCAGACAUUGCCUCCAAUCCUGGAUAUGAUGGGUUUGCUUCUAUUUUUUAUUACACUUUACACAGUAUUGGGCUAUUACAUGUUCUCCGACAUGAACAGAUAUUUCUCCACGCUGCAAGACAGCUUUGUAAGUCUUUUUGUUCUUCUCACCACUGCUAAUUUUCCAGAUGUAAUGAUGCCGUCAUAUUCAAAAAACAAGUGGUACGCAAUAUACUUUGUCUCUUACUUAUCAACGAUGUUAUAUGUGAUGAUGAAUUUAAUGUUGGCAGUAGUAAACGAAACAUUUACAGCCGCCGAGCGGGACAAGUUUAAAAAAUUGUUCUUGCACAAAAGAAAGGCGUGCCAGCAUGCCUUCAAGUUGCUAAUCACAAAACAGAAUCCAGAUAAAAUGAAAUUCCGUCAGUUCGAGGGGUUGAUGCGAUACUACGCACCACAAAGAAGUAUAAGAGAUAUUGUUUUAAUUUUUCGACAUUUAAAUACUUCUGGAUCCGGAGCGUUGAGCUCUCAAGAAUUUUUGAACAUUUAUGACACGAUAGUACUUCAGUGGGAACCACAAUACUCCAGCGUACCUUGGUAUCACAGUACAUCUAAACCACUGCAAAUCCUCUGCAACGGAGCUCAUGCUGCCAUCAGAUGGAGCUACUUCGAGACUAUGAUGUACGUCGCGAUCGUUGGAAAUGGCAUUGCUAUGAUAAUAAGGAUUCUACAGACAGAUGACAAUGUUCACAGUGCUCGUUUGUUCGCUGCGUCAUGGGACACCUUCCUUUUUGGAGGAGUAUUUGUGGCUGAAGCGUUGAUCAAAGUGCUCGGGCUUGGCACAAGAUGGUAUCUCAGUUCCGGAUGGAAUCUCUUCGAUUUAGGCACCUCAGUAAUGACACUCGUAGCAGCCUGUAUUUUACGUCUUUUCCCAACAGCAACGUUCUUCGUUCUCUUUAGACCACUCAGACUUCUAAGAUUAUUUAAGAUGAAGAAAAGAUACAGAGACGUUUUCGGCACGCUGGUAAUUUUGACUCCUUUGAUGUCUUCUACCGCCGUGGUCAUGUUGGUUUUAUAUUAUUUCUUUGCCAUAAUUGGAAUGGAGCUGUUCGCCGGUUAUAACAUGCGGAAUUGCUGCAAAAAUACAACAGUCGAGGAUUUCUACAAGUACUCUGUCAACGAAAGCACCACGCUAGGUUACUACUAUUUAAAUACUUUUGAUAAUCUCUUAGCUAGCGGGAUGACGCUCUUCGAAUUAACAGUUGUUAACAACUGGUUCAUAUUGAUGAAUGCUUACGCGUUCACCGUUGGCAUGUACACAAGAAUAUAUUUUAUGGUGUUUUAUCUGGUAACGAUGAUUGUAUUAACAAUCGUUGUGUCCAGUUUCUUGGAAGCAUUCCGAUUUAGAAUACAUUACAAAAAAUCGACAUCUAAACGCGAUGAGGAGAAAAUGCUUCAUGAAGAAGUGGAAUUGAGAUGGGACGAGUUGCAAUGUAUAAUAGAAGAUUUUCAGAUUCUAGAAAAAUUGAGACCUUCGCUCGUAGUCGGCGGAACAACCGUUUUCAUUGGAUCGCGUCCGCGAACGCGGGAAGUUUUGCAAAGGAAAAUGUAUACAAGCGAAAUCAAAGAAUGGAUCGCAGAAGCUAAAGAGGCUGAAAGAUUGUACUUGUCGAAUCCUGUAUAUAGUGCAGAUCAGAACUUUAGGGAGGACGUUAUAUCCGAAUCCGAUCACCUUAGAUCUAGAGGAAACUCACGACCAACGCAUCGUAACACAUCCAACGUCGUAUAAUUAUUAACAGUGACAGAUCCUUAACCAUUAAUAAUUUUCAUGUUACACAUCUUUGCGACGCAUCGACUCAAAAGGUUGUAACAUAAAAAUGCUGUAUCUAGUUAGUGCAAAUUACCGAAGCAACGGAAUAAAACAGAAGAGAGCCGGUACAAAUGUUUGUUUACAACGUUACAACUGUUUGAGAAAAUUGAUUUAGUUACUGCUUUAUUUGUGAAUUUGUACGCCUGCACCUCCCAACGUUGUCAACGUAACAGAAAACCCGUCUGCGAUCAAUUUUCGUGAAAUACUUGUAAUCGUUUCCGGCUGGGUGUCUGGUAAUAAUAAAAUGUAUGCAUAUCCGCCGCCACCAGCACCGGUUAGUUUCGCUGCUAAAGCAUAAUUCUGCGCCUCUGCACAAAUUCUAUCCAAAGAUGGAUGAGAUACUUGACACGUGGCUAACAAUCCUUGAUUCAUGUUAAUCAGCGUCUGGAAUAAUACGAUAUUCGUUAAGAAGAUCUGCAUAAAUUGACAGGGCAUUGGGGACAAUGACCACUUUUUCAUAAUCGGUAAUAACAAUUUAAUCGAACAACAUA